GGGGCGGUAGCUCAGCCGGUCAGAGCAGGGGACUCAUAAUCCUCCGGUCGUGGGUUCGAGCCCCACCCGCCCCACCC
rnacentral:tRNA from 1 species